GUACUGUUGAAGAGUCCCAAACUAGGACGAAACAGCUGCCCAGUAC
rfam:Trichobilharzia regenti genome assembly, scaffold: TRE_scaffold0015362